rnacentral:pre_miRNA from 1 species
UUGAAUGUGAAUUGAUUUAUGUUUAGAUACACUUUACUAAAAGUAAUUCUUAUGAGUCGAUGUUAUUUGGAUAG